rnacentral:misc_RNA from 1 species
CCAAUAGCGUAUAUUAAAGUUGUUGCAGUUAAAAAGCUCGUAGUUGAAUUUCGGGAUUGGCGCAUCGGUCGUGCCUCACGGGGUAUGAACUGGUGCAGUCAAUUUCUCACCUUCUGGAGAACCGCGAUGUCCUUAAUUGGAUGCCGCGGGGAACCAGGACCUUUACUUUGAGAAAAUUAGAGUGUUUAAAGCAGGCAUUUUUGCUUGAAUACAUUAGCAUGGAAUAAUAAAAUAGGACGGCAUGGUUCUAUUUUGUUGGUUUCUAGGACCACCGUAAUGAUUAAUAGGGAUAGUUGGGGGCAUUAGUAUUCAAUUGUCAGAGGUGAAAUUCUUGGAUUUAUUGAAGACUAACUACUGCGAAAGCAUUUGCCAAGGAUGUUUUCAUUAAUCAAGAACGAAAGUUAGGGGAUCGAAGACGAUCAGAUACCGUCGUAGUCUUAACCAUAAACUAUGCCGACUAGGAAUCAGACGAUGUUAAUUUUUUAAUGACUCGUUUGGCACCUUACG